rnacentral:rRNA from 1 species
AACGAACGCUGGCGGCAUGCCUAACACAUGCAAGUCGAACGAGACCUUCGGGUCUAGUGGCGCACGGGUGCGUAACGCGUGGGAAUCUGCCCUUGGGUUCGGAAUAACAGUGAGAAAUUACUGCUAAUACCGGAUGAUGUCUUCGGACCACAGAUUUAUCGCCCAAGGAUGAGCCCGCGUAGGAUUAGGUAGUUGGUGGGGUAAUGGCCUACCAAGCCGACGAUCCUUAGCUGGUCUGAGAGGAUGAUCCGCCACACUGGGACUGAGACACGGCCCAGACUCCUACGGGAGGCAGCAGUGGGGAAUAUUGGACAAUGGGCGAAAGCCUGACCCAGCAAUGCCGCGUGAGUGAUGAAGGCCUUAGGGUUGUAAAGCUCUUUUACCAGGGAUGAUAAUGACAGUACCUGGAGAAUAAGCUCCGGCUAACUCCGUGCCAGCCGCCGCCGUAA